AAACAGAGGCAAUUAAGAGUACCACCCGCCGGGGGUAAAGGUCAUAAUAAAAGGAUUUAAAAUAGCAAAUUUUUAAAUCUUCUUAUAAGACGUUUACUGCGAGUGCAGUUCAGACUUCUAUUUGAACUUACACAGCAGUUGAAAAUUCCCCACUCUAGAUAAAACCAUCAAAAAAUUAUUUUAUACUUGUAACAUCAAAUUGACAUGUGCAUAUCACCUAAUACCGACGUAUUAACAAAAUGAACCAAGAUUUUUUAUCACAAUUCGAUCAAGCGUUUUGUUUUAAUGACAAUAAUCAACUUAGAAAUGGACAAUUAUCACCACCAUACUCAAUAUCUUCAUCUUCCUCAUUCGAUGAACAUGUGCCUUGUGAGGUUAAGGAAAUUCCACAACCUGUAACAGCAGAAUUUGAGAUUAAUGAGAUAUUAAAAAACUGUACAACGAAAAAUCGUGCUGUAAAACAUCAACGCACAAUUUUAUCAAGAUAUGAAGGAACUAUUCUAGAGCAUGAAUUUGAUCAAAACGCAUUUAUAACCCCACAACGAAAGAAGGAAUUGUCCAAAUUGUUAUCAAUGAGUGAAUAUACAAUCAAAACGUGGUUUCAAAACCGACGCUUGAAACAAAAGAGACAAUUGAUUAAAAUGAAUCAAAAAAAUGUACUAAUGACGAUGUGUUCAAGUUUGAAUCAAGGGGCUGAUGGGCGUGAAGUUUACGUAGUAAAAUGUUAUAAACAUAUGAGUGGUGGCACAUGUACCGUAUUAAAAUAAUUAAUAGAUACUAAAAUGACCUAAAAAAUAUAAAUAAACUUUUAAAUGUU